ensembl:lincRNA
GCCUGGCCUCCAGCCCCACACAUGCCGAGGGAAGCACCUCUGGGUUCGGUUUCCAGGCAGCGGGGCGCUGGGCCCUGCUCCUCAGAGACAGUGGCUCAUCCAGGAGUGUGUGGGGGGAUGCUCAGCGUGACCGGGGGUGGCUGAGGGGGAUCGGCCACCUGCAGAAGACCCGGGACCUCUCCUGUGCAGUGUCACCACUCUGCCACUCCACGCCAGCCAAGUGUCUCCUGGCCUCCCCACCCCCAGCUGCUGGGCACCGCAGGCACCUCAGACAUGAUGCAGUGGCUGCCUCGGGAGCCCCAGGCCGGCCUGAGCACCGCAAGCUGUCCCCCACGCUGUGCAGUCCCCCCUCUGGCUGGAGAGCUCAGAGUCAAUACCAUCAAACGCCACGCACACAGUCAGUGAGUAUCAUCAGCUCAGGGGACUUGGAGCCCUUGAGGACAAGGCUCUCAGAGGUGCUGGAGGGAGCUGGAUGUGGCGGGAGGAGGUCUCCUUCUGAGACCUUGAGGUGGUCGUUGCCUGUCCAGUGUCUGUGCAGCCUCACCUAUCUAUAAAUGGGCCACGGGGCUCCUGAAGGCUACAGGCUUUGUCAGCUUAGAGAUGCUGUCUUUAAAAAAUAAUGCCUACUUAAAAAAAAUCCACGCCCUAUCCCUUCUGUAGACGUCUGAAGGACAGAGUGUGCAGACGAAGGUGACGGUCUCUCACAUUAAAAUCCCCUGCUUUGUGGGGCCCUGUGGGAACUCCUGCCCUGCCCUUGCUCACCCCCCUCCCCCAUGUCACAGCAGGGCUGUCUCUGGUUCUUCCUGCUCAGCACUCUCUGCCUGCCACAGGGCCUUUGCACAGUCUGCUCUUGCAGCUGGGAAGAUCACCCCCGACCCCACCCAUUCCAGCUGCUUUCUUGUCCUCAGAUGUAUCUUCUGCCCCCUACUUGCCCCCCACAGCACUUAACAUAGCCUGUAACGGUUCGCUUCUUCUAUCCACCAGUUUCUUUAUGGCUGCGUCCCCGCUGGAAUGAAGCUCCAAGGGACAAGGAUAAGGCCUAGACUGGUCACCGCCACUGCCUCCCUCGUUCCACACUGUGGGCCUUCCACCGACUUUUGUCCAGCAAAUCACUCACAGUUCCCCAGCCAGAGCCAGUCUUCAGCUUCACCUUGAGCUUUGAUGAUCCGGCCAGUGUGAAAGGAUGGGGAGGUCCAGGUGACCCCUGCCCAGGAUGUUGCUGAGGCUUGUGGGUCUGCCCCACCCUUGCAAGCUCCCCUCAGCGCUCUCCCAGGCCCCCUCCUAGGUGACUGGGGCACUAAUUGCUCCUUGAGGGCCUUAAUUACUGGCCAUGGCCCUCCACCGCUAAGUAGCAGCAUUAAAAUAGAGUAAAUGUUUUCAUUUUCUUGAAAAGUUCACAUAUACAAGAGGAAGUGCUGCUGAGCAGGGACGGGCUGCGCUGGACACCCCCUGGGCCUCGCCUGGGAACUGCCAUGGUCCUGCCUUCCUGCGUCUUCCUUCCCCCAAGGCCCAGAGGUGGAGCAAGGCGCAGGGCCUCCCGGGCUUUCCCUACCCCCAGCACGGCCACCCCAUUCUGGUUGCGUCUCUGCAGUGCCAUUGCGCAGCGCAGGUGGGGAAGCCCUGGUUGAGUGACCUUGCCAGGGCCUCUCCAGAUCUGGGGGUCCCCACGUGGGUCCUCUCACCCACUCGGGCGACUGCUGAGGCCGGAGGCCCCUGGAGCCGCCCACGUGGACCAGCCACCCCGCUCUUUGUCCAGCGUUGAGUGGGCUUGGAAGAAGGGAGGUCGCACUCGGAGCCACCAGACUGGUGGUCGUGGAAAAGUGAAAAGCUUGUGAGGUUUUCAGUGGCCAAGGGGUCCGAGUGGGACCCCGGAGCACAGGGGGCGGUGUGUCUCAGUAUGAGGCUGGGGUGCUGCAGGAGGGCCUGGGCGCUUCCCCGAGGUCCCACGCGGCUCGCUUGGUCCAGGAGGAGGCUGGGCGAGGGACAAGUUCGCAGAAAGCCGUAGGUGCGCUGUGCGCGCGCGCGCGUGUGUGUGUGUGUGUGUGUGCGGGGGUGCGGAUGCACGCGCACCCAGAAUCCCACCCACGGAUACAGCAGCGCAUCACACGCACGGUCACACCCAGGACACACAUGCGGAGGGGGAGGGGCGCGCCCGCCGCGGUCUCGACCGCCGCGCACCGCCCACGCCUGCAGCCCCGCCCCUUCGCCGACC